AUCAAAGACCCUUUCCAUGAGAGCAUCUUCAGCAUGAUGCUCCUUGGGAAGCUCAGCUGUUGGCAUAAGAGCUCCAAGGUAACAUUUGAGCAGAUUGGUCAAAACAAGUUUGAGUUUUGUUUGCAUUGUGGAAGACAUCGAAACAAGCUGUUAGAUGACGGUGAAGGCUGAAAUACCUCAAGGGACUAGAAAAUUCAUGUUAGCAUAAUUGUCCAUGUCUUUGGAGACAUCCAUUUGUAUGACUGUAAUAUGAACCUGCUUCCUAACCCUUCAGAUGGCGCAAGUAGCUUAUUUGCUUCAAUUGUGUGCCAAUCAUUCACAAUUUAGAUAGUUGGUCCGAGAUAUGUAAAUUAUACACUAAUUAUAAGAUAAGGUUUCCCAUGGGCCAGCCUUUUUUUU